rnacentral:snoRNA from 1 species
AAGACUAUACUUUCAGCAAUAAUCAGAAAUCACUUCUACACUUCAUUGCUAGAGAAGUUUCUCUGAUAGCCUGGAGUCCCUGAAACCACCAAGAAGAGCUAGAGCAUCCUUUUCUGAGCAAGAAGCCAGUUCUCGGUGUAGUUUUGGCAACUGUCUUUUGCCAUUGAUGAUCUUCUCUUCCUUUGGAAGAGUGGAAGGCGAAGAUGCAGUCUGAGUGG